rnacentral:misc_RNA from 1 species
AAGUCGUAACAAGGUUUCCGUAGGUGAACCUGCGGAAGGAUCAUUACAGAGUUCAUGCCCGAAAGGGUAGACCUCCCACCCGUGUGUAUCUAUACAUUGUUGCUUUGGCGGGCCGCCGUGAGGCUACCGGCCCUUGGGCUGGUACGUGCCCGCCAGAGGACCCUCAAACUCGGAAUGUUAGUGUCGUCUAAGUACUAUAUAAUAGUUAAAA